rnacentral:rRNA from 1 species
UACGUAGGGACCAAGCGUUGUCCGGAAUCAUUGGGCGUAAAGAGCGUGUAGGCGGCUCGAUAAGUCUGCUGUGAAAGUCCAGGGCUCAACCCUGGAAGGCCGGUGGAAACUGUCGGGCUAGAGUCCGGAAGAGGCGAGUGGAAUUCCCGGUGUAGCGGUGAAAUGCGCAGAUAUCGGGAGGAACACCAAUGGCGAAGGCAGCUCGCUGGGACGGUACUGACGCUGAGACGCGAAAGCGUGGGGAGCAAACAGG